UAAAGGAAGAGGACAGGAGGACGACCAGCACGAGUGAUUGCAGUCAUGCCACAUAUAAUGCCGUCAAUAGAUGUACCAAUAGACUGUGACACAUUAACUAUAGCAGAAGCUGGUACUGGUUAUGACAAUGACGAUGAAAGCUGGAGACCAAAGAGGGCAAGAGUGUCCAGUAUAGAGGCCACACUUGAAUAUGUAAAUCAGCCGGGAACAAGCCAGGACUGACUGAAGAAGCUGGGUUGACGGAAACCAAUGUUGAGCUCACCACUGAAAGUGAACCCUAUCAGCUAUCAGCUACACAAUCAGCAAGCAGAAAAAAUAAAACUUCAUUUGAAGACAUUUUAAAAAGUGAUGGACAACCAAAAAAAUUUGAGAUAGAAGUGGAACAAAUG